rnacentral:rRNA from 1 species
CUACGGGAGGCUGCAGUGAGGAAUAUUGCACAAUGGGGGGAACCCUGAUGCAGCAACGCCGCGUGGAGGAUGACGCAUUUCGGUGUGUAAACUCCUUUUAUAUGUCAAGAAAAUGACGGUAGCAUAUGAAUAAGCACCGGCUAACUCCGUGCCAGCAGCCGCGGUAAUACGGGGGGUGCAAGCGUUACUCGGAAUCACUGGGCGUAAAGGACGCGUAGGCGGGUUGGAAAGUCAGGUGUGAAAUCCUACAGCUUAACUGUAGAACUGCACCUGAAACUUCUAAUCUAGAGUAUGGGAGGGGGAGAUGGAAUUAGUGGUGUAGGGGUAAAAUCCGUAGAUAUCACUAGGAAUACCUAAAGCGAAGGCGAUCUCCUGGAACAUUACUGAUGCUAAGGCGUGAAAGCGUGGGGAGCAAACAGGAUUAGAUACCCUCGUAGUC